rnacentral:rRNA from 1 species
CCUACGGGUGGCAGCAGUCGAGAAUCAUUCACAAUGGGGGAAACCCUGAUGGUGCGACGCCGCGUGGGGGAAUGAAGGUCUUCGGAUUGUAAACCCCUGUCAUGUGGGAGCAAAUUAAAAAGAUAGUACCACAAGAGGAAGAGACGGCUAACUCUGUGCCAGCAGCCGCGGUAAUACAGAGGUCUCAAGCGUUGUUCGGAAUCACUGGGCGUAAAGUGUGCGUAGGCUGUUUCGUAAGUCGUGUGUGAAAGGCGCGGGCUCAACCCGCGGACGGCACAUGAUACUGCGAGACUAGAGUAAUGGAGGGGGAACCGGAAUUCUCGGUGGAGCAGUGAAAUGCGUAGAUAUCGAGAGGAACACUCGUGGCGAAGGCGGGUUCCUGGACAUUAACUGACGCUGAGGCACGAAGGCCAGGGGAGCGAAAGGGAUUAGAUACCCUAGUAGUC